rnacentral:rRNA from 1 species
CCCUGCGGGAGGGAAAGGGUUCUAAGUGAAUUUUUCUAAGUGCGUGGCUGCGUCCCCCAGUUGGUUUUGGGUUACCUCAUGCAGGUCUUGCGCGCGCGCCCCCGCGGCGCGCGCCGGUGUCACGCAUCAGACCUCUAAUCGGAA